rnacentral:rRNA from 1 species
GUAGGUGGCAAGCGUUGUCCGGAAUUAUUGGGCGUAAAGCGCGCGCAGGCGGUUCUUUAAGCCUGAUGUGAAAGCCCACGGCUCAACCGUGGAGGGUCAUUGGAAACUGGAGAACUUGAGUACAGAAGAGGAAAGCGGAAUUCCACGUGUAGCGGUGAAAUGCGUAGAGAUGUGGAGGAACACCAGUGGCGAAGGCGGCUUUCUGGUCUGUAACUGACGCUGAGGCGCGAAAGCGUGGGGGAGCAAACAGGAUUAGAUACCCUGGUAGUCCACGCCGUAAACGAUGAGUGCUAAGUGUUAGGGGGUUUCCGCCCCUUAGUGCUGCAGCUAACGCAUUAAGCACUCCGCCUGGGAGUACGGCCGCAAGGCUG